CGCAUCUGUGCAUGCAGCAUAUCAAUAAGCGGAGGAAAAGAAACUAACAAGGAUUCCCUUAGUAACGGCGAGUGAAGCGGGAAGAGCUCAAAUUUGAAAUCUUCAAGGUUUUACCUUGACGAAUUGUAGUUUAAAGAAGUGUUUUCUGUUGAAGUUUUGGUAAAAGUUCUUUGGAAUAGGACAUCAUAGAGGGUGAGAAUCCCGUAUUUGACCAUUAUUUUCAGCUGUGUGAUACACUUUCAAAGAGUCGGAUUGUUUGGGAAUGCAGUCCAAAAUGGGUGGUAAAUUUCGUCUAAAGCUAAAUAUUGGCGAGAGACCGAUAGCGAACAAGUACCGUGAGGGAAAGAUGAAAAGAACUUUGAAAAGAGAGUUAAACAGUACGUGAAAUUGUCAAAAGGGAAGCGUUUGACACCAGUGUUGUUUUCUCGAAAAUCAAUUAAAAAGAGUUUGAUUUUGUUGUGUAUUGACCUUAACAGCUUGCAUUUCAAUUUUCUUGCUUUUUUUAAUGCACUUUUCGUUUAACAAGUCAACAUCAGUUUCCUUUUGUUGUAAAAAGGUCAUUGGAAGGUGGCUUUCUUUUCGGAGAAAGUGUUUAUAGCCUCUGACUCCUGCAAUCGGAGAGACUGAGGUCUGCAGCGUAGAUCCUUCGGGGUUAGAUACAUUUGUGCUAAGUUAUAGCUUUUUAUAGACAACUUGUUGACUAUGAUUAGUCUUGUAGCUUACUCGCUUAUGCUAUUUUACCUACGCUUAGGAUGUUGAAGACUCUACAGAGAUA
rnacentral:rRNA from 1 species